rnacentral:rRNA from 1 species
AGCGAACGCUGGCGGCAUGCCUAACACAUGCAAGUCGAACGAACCUUUCGGGGUUAGUGGCGGACGGGUGAGUAACACGUGGGAACGUGCCUUUAGGUUCGGAAUAACUCAGGGAAACGUGUGCUAAUACCGAAUGUGCCCUUCGGGGGAAAGAUGUAUCGCCUUUAGAGCGGCCCGCGUCUGAUUAGCUAGUUGGUUGAGGUAAUGGCUCACCAAGGCGACGAUCAGUAGCUGGUCUGAGAGGAUGAUCAGCCACAUUGGGACUGAGACACGGCCCAAAAUCCUACGGGAGGCAGCAGUGGGGAAUCUUGCGAAAUGGGCGAAAGCCUGACGCAGCCAUGCCGCGUGAAUGAUGAAGGUCUUAGGAUUGUAAAAUUCUUUCACCGGGGACGAUAAUGACGGUACCCGGAGAAGAAGCCCCGGCUAACUUCGUG